CCAGACUCCACGGGAGGCAGCAGUGGGGAAUAUUGCACAAUGGGGGAAACCCUGAUGCAGCAACGCCGCGUGAGUGAAGAAGUCAUUCGUGAUGUAAAGCUCUAUCAGCAGGGAAGAAAAUGACGGUACCUGAGUAAGAAGCCCCGGCUAACUACGUGCCAGCAGCCGCGGUAAUACGUAGGGGGCAAGCGUUAUCCGGAUUUAUUGGGUUUAAAGGGUGCGUAGGCGGACAGUCAAGUCAGCGGUAAAAAUGCGGUGCUCAACGCCGUACAGCCGUUGAAACUGGCAGUCUUGAGUGGGCGAGAAGUAUGCGGAAUGCGUGGUGUAGCGGUGAAAUGCAUAGAUAUCACGCAGAACUCCGAUUGCGAGGGCAGCAUACCGGCGCCCGACUGACGCUGAGGCACGAAAGCGUGGGUAUCGAACAGGAUUAGAUACCCUCGUAC
rnacentral:rRNA from 1 species